rnacentral:rRNA from 1 species
AUUGAACGCUGGCGGCAUGCCUUACACAUGCAAGUCGAACGGCGGCACGGGUGCUUGCCCCUGGUGGCGAGUGGCGAACGGGUGAGUAAUACAUCGGAACAUGUCCUGUAGUGGGGGAUAGCCCGGCGAAAGCCGGAUUAAUACCGCAUACGAUCUACGGAUGAAAGCGGGGGACCUUCGGACCUCGCGCUAUAGGGUUGGCCGAUGGCUGAUUAGCUAGUUGGUGGGGUAAAGGCCUACCAAGGCGACGAUCAGUAGCUGGUCUGAGAGGACGACCAGCCACACUGGGACUGAGACACGGCCCAGACUCCUACGGGAGGCAGCAGUGGGGAAUUUUGGACAAUGGGCGAAAGCCUGAUCCAGCAAUGCCGCGUGUGUGAAGAAGGCCUUCGGGUUGUAAAGCACUUUUGUCCGGAAAGAAAUCCUUGGCCCUAAUACGGUCGGGGGAUGACGGUACCGGAAGAAUAAGCACCGGCUAACUACGUG